UGGCUGAGCGGUAAAGCACUUGGCUUCCGAACUUGGGAUCCCAGGUUCGAAUCCUGG
rfam:Biomphalaria glabrata isolate BB02 linkage group LG4i unlocalized genomic scaffold LG4i_random_Scaffold22, whole genome shotgun sequence.